rnacentral:rRNA from 1 species
UACGGAGGAUCCAAGCGUUAUCCGGAUUUAUUGGGUUUAAAGGGUGCGUAGGCGGCCUAUUAAGUCAGAGGUGAAAGACGGUAGCUCAACUAUCGCAGUGCCUUUGAUACUGAUGGGCUUGAAUGAACUAGAGGUAGGCGGAAUGAGACAAGUAGCGGUGAAAUGCAUAGAUAUGUCUCAGAACACCGAUUGCGAAGGCAGCUUACUAUGGUUUUAUUGACGCUGAGGCACGAAAGCGUGGGGAGUCAAACAGGA